GACAGUGUCAGGCGGGGAGUUUGACUGGGGCGGUACAUCUGUUAAAUAAUAACGCAGGUGUCCUAAGGUUAGCUCAGUGAGGACAGAAACCUCACGUAGAGUAAAAGGGCAAAAGCUAACUUGAUCUAUGACCUUCAGUACUGGUAUAGACCGCGAAAGCGUGGCCUAUCGAUCCUUUUGUUGUUCUUAAACGGUUGACAGUUUCAAGCAAGAGGUGUCAGAAAAGUUACCACAGGGAUAACUGGUAGCGCUAAGGCUUAAUGUGGUUGUCGCAAGGCAAUCGUCACACACAACAUUAAAGCGGUGCAGCGUUACAAACCUUGGUGUUUAGUAGUGUCGAUGUAGUUUGUGGUUCGCCACAGACUGCUUUCGGCCUAGCGUACAAGUCCCAUUGACUUGGGCUUAUUCUUAAUUGAGAUGUCUACGGGUUUGGGGUAACUUGGAUCCGUGGAUGAGCCAUAGAGGGUGAAAGUCCCUUAAUGCGCAGGUAUUGACACUACGAACCGGGGCAGUGGCGUCUGGUAAAACAGGCGUUGCGAUUUGUUAGAGUCGGGUUGCUUGAGAGUGCAACCUAAAGAGCGAGGUAAACUGCUCGUAAGGCUAUUUAAAUACGGCUACGACACCGAUAGCAAACAAGUACCGUGAGGGAAAGUUGCAAAGUACUUUGAAGAGAGAGUUAAACAGGGCGUGAAACCGCUAGCUGGAAAAACCCGUCUUGAAACACGGACCAAGGAGUGUAGGAGGGUUGUGUUGGUAGCGUUGAAGGCUAUGAGGGAGUGAUCCUGGCUGGAGCUGCCAAUAGUACAGAUCUUGGUGGUAGUAGCAAAUACUCAAGUGAGACCCUUGAGGGCCAAUGUGGAGAAGGGUUCCAUGCUAACAGCAAUUGGACAUGGGUCAGUCGGUGAAUUAGGUUAAUAUUCCUAAACCAAGAUGGGGAGAUGGCACGGACCACGGGAAUCCGACUGUCUAAUUAAAACAAAGCAUUGCGAUGGCCUAAGAUUGUGGUGUUGACGCAAUGUGAUUUCUGCCCAGUGCUAUGAAUGUCACAGUGAAGAAAUUCAUCUAAGCGCUAGUAAACGGCGGGAGUAACUAUGACUCUCUUGUGGUAGCCAAAUGCCUCGUCAUCUAAUUAGUGACGCGCAUGAAUGGAUUAACGAGAUUCCCACUGUCCCUAUCUACUACCUAGCGAAACCACAGCCAAGGGAACGGGCUUGGCAAAAUCAGCGGGGAAAGAAGACCCUGUUGAGCUUGACUCUAGUCUGGCUUUACGCGGAGUAUGGCAUUCGUGGGUAGCAAUAUUCAUGGGUGUUAUGCGUUGCGAGUGGAGCCACGAAGUCGUUUCGUAGAAUACGGGGCGCAAAUUCAGCCAAGAUUAGCAAUAGUUUUGGCGUAUUUUUGCUUGUCCCGCUACUGUAAGCGUACACUGCAACCAAUUAGACGGCUAAUCGUGGACUCAGUUUGCGUGUUGACAGGGAAACUUGUUGCACGUAGGCGAAACCAUUUGUGCACUUUGCUGUAGGUAGUCUGGUAUAAUCUCUUGUAGGCUAUAUUGGGCGUAUGACAGCAAAUGCGUGAACUACGAUUAGGUACUGAUUGGCAAAUUGAAAAUCGAAUCGCAAGAUUCGUGUGUUCAUAGAAAGCGGCUAACCUCGUAUUUGGGUACAAUUGUGCGCUGCUAGUAUUUUUAAGCUUAGUAUUUUCGAAUUCAGGCACGUACAUUGUCAGUGGGCUUGCUCGUUGAUAUGUGCGCUGUUUCCUGUCUAAUCGGGUAUUAACUUUGCUGGUAGUUUGAUGCAAUUGCUACGAUAGCACUGAAUGCGAGAGUUAGUUUGCAAGUAUUGGCAGUGAGUAGGUCGGCUUUCCACACGCGUUGAACUAUCGUUGCACAUACAAAUGCGAUUAGUUAUAAUUCAACGCCUAAGAGAAUGGCGAAAGCUAUUUCUGAAUCAAAGGCAGUGUAAACCAAAUAAUAACUAACUGCAUUCACCUAUCUACUAUUAUACAUAUCUCUAUUAUCAUGCUUCUUAUUACCAACUAACUUAUCAUUCGACUAUUCAUUAUUGUAUCAAUAUAUGUGUGUAUAUGAUUGAUGAUCAUUAGUAUAGAAUGCUGUGCGAAAUUCGCGGGUAUAAACGUCUAGUCUGCAUACACACACAAUCCAGAUAGAAUUUCUGAAGCUGUAUGUCGGAUGCUCGAAAACGUUGUACUGUCGUGUUUCUUAAGCACAUGCAAUAUUGGAUCAUCAUAUAUAUAUAUAUAUAUGUGUGUAUAAAUAAAUGGCGAAAAAAUAAGCAGCAUUACAAUAAUAAGCAAUAAAAUGAUACUUGAGAGCGUAAAUGUGUGAUAGUGGUGUUUGCGCAAAUUUAGCUAUGAACACUGCAUGACUCGAAAGGUGUUGUCUGUAUGGUUAUUCAUUUAGCUGUGCAAACAACAUUGGCGGUAACGCAAACAAGGCUCUGAGGAUCGAGUUGGUCGGGCUGUAUGUGAGAUACUUUCAUGAGUUUGUAUCUAUGCUGGACCUUUGUUUUGCGUUCAUGAUGGCUGCGGCCGACGCAGGGAAACCUGUGUUGCCGUAGUCACGUGUUCACAAAUAUUGGAUCGGCAUGGAUCGCUCGUUUGUUGAUCGCUACAGCUACGCUGGUAGCGCUUGAGUAGGCUUGCUUGCUUGAGUGUUAUCGUUUAAAAAGCGUCAUCGGCUAACAACUAACGAUCGAAUCAGAACUCAAGCUCUCGCAGAAAUGUGAAUCAGUUUCAUCUGGUAAAGCGAAUGAUUAGAGGCCUUGGGAGCGAAACGCUCUCAACCUAUUCUCAAACUUUAAAUGGGUGAGAUGUACGACGUACUUAACUGACGCCGUAUUCACACAGAAUGUAUUGAGAGCUUAGUGGGCCAUUUUUGGUAAGCAGAACUGGCGAUGCGGGAUGAACCGAAAGUGAAGUUAAGGUUGCCGAUAAUGGUGCUAACAAUUUGUGCACUAGCUACACUCAUGAGAUCCCAUGAAAGGUGUAAGUUGCUAAAGACAGCAAGGACGUGGCCAUGGAAGUCGGAAACAUCUAAGGAGUGUGUAACAACUCACUUGCCGAAGCAACUUGCCCUGAAAAUGGAAGCAGCUCGAGUGUUGAACCUAUACUUCACUCUAGUUAAGUAUCGAGUCGAUCGGUCUUGAUUAGGCCAGACAUGGUUGAUCAUUCUUAACCGAGUGAUGCACCAACUACAAUGACGGCAAAGUGAAAUCAAAUCAUAUGUGAUCUGAGGUCUAUAACAAUGGCCUACAGCGCAACAUAUGCCCACUCGUAUGGUUAUACGCGCAAGUGUUAACCGGGUGGAGCAAAGAGAUACUUGACUGGUAUUCUCCCACUUGGCCGUACCCAUAUCCGCAGCAGGUCUCCAAGGUUAACAGCCUCUGGUCACUUAGGAUAAUGUAGGUAAGGGAAGUCGGCAAAACGGAUCCGUAACUUCGGGAUAAGGAUUGUGAAGAGACAUGAGAGGUGUAGCAUAGGUGGGAGAUGCAUAUCGCAAGAUGUGUGUCGCAAGUGAAAUACCACUACUUUCAUUGUUUCUUUACUGA
rnacentral:rRNA from 1 species